rnacentral:tRNA from 1 species
UAUUAGCUCAGUCGGUAGAGCACCUGACUUUUAAUCAGGGUGUCCCGCGUUCGAGUCGCGGAUAGAUCACCA